UAAUACGUAGGUGGCAAGCGUUGUCCGGAAUUAUUGGGCGUAAAGGGCGCGUAGGCGGCACCCUAAGUCAGAUGUGAAAACCCGGGGCUUAACUCCGGACGUGCAUUUGAAACUGGGGAGCUUGAGUGCAGGAGAGGUAAGUGGAAUUCCUAGUGUAGCGGUGAAAUGCGUAGAUAUUAGGAGGAACACCAGUGGCGAAGGCGACUUACUGGACUGUAACUGACGCUGAGGCGCGAAAGCGUGGGGAGCAAACAGGAUUAGAUACCCUGGUAGUCCACGCUGUAAACGAUGGAUACUAGGUGUGGGAGGUAUCGACCCCUUCCGUGCCGCAGUAAACGCAAUAAGUAUCCCGCCUGGGGAGUACGGCCGCAAGGUUG
rnacentral:rRNA from 1 species